rnacentral:rRNA from 1 species
GGGGAAUAUUGCACAAUGGGCGCAAGCCUGAUGCAGCCAUGCCGCGUGUAUGAAGAAGGCCUUCGGGUUGUAAAGUACUUUCAGCGAGGAGGAAGGCAUUAAGGUUAAUAACCUUAGUGAUUGACGUUACUCGCAGAAGAAGCACCGGCUAACUCCGUGCCAGCAGCCGCGGUAAUACGGAGGGUGCAAGCGUCAAUCGGAAUUACUGGGCGUAAAGCGCACGCAGGCGGUCUGUUAAGUCAGAUGUGAAAUCCCCGGGCUCAACCUGGGAACUGCAUUUGAAACUGGCAGGCUUGAGUCUUGUAGAGGGGGGUAGAAUUCCAGGUGUAGCGGUGAAAUGCGUAGAGAUCUGGAGGAAUACCGGUGGCGAAGGCGGCCCCCUGGACAAAGACUGACGCUCAGGUGCGAAAGCGUGGGGAGCAAAC